rnacentral:rRNA from 1 species
UACGUAGGGUGCGAGCGUUAAUCGGAAUUACUGGGCGUAAAGCGUGCGCAGGCGGUUCGUUGUGUCGGUGGUGAAAGCCCCGGGCUUAACCUGGGAAUGGCCUGGAAACUGGCGAACUGGAGUGUGGCAGAGGGGGGUGGAAUUCCGCGUGUAGCAGUGAAAUGCGUAGAGAUGCGGAGGAACACCGAUGGCGAAGGCAGCCCCCUGGGCUAGCACUGACGCUCAGGCACGAAAGCGUGGGGAGCAAACAGG